rnacentral:rRNA from 1 species
CAAGGAAUUUUCGGCAAUGGGCGCAAGCCUGACCGAGCAACGCCGCGUGGAGGAUGACGGCCUUCGGGUUGUAAACUCCUUUUGCGGGGGAUGAUAAUGACCGUACCCCGCGAAUCAGGCUCGGCUAACUCUGUGCCAGCAGCCGCGGUAAGACAGAGGAGCCAAGCGUUGUCCGGAUUGACUGGGCGUAAAGCGCACGCAGGCGGUUGCGCGCGUGGGGUGUGAAAGCGAGCCGCUUAACGGCUCGAGGCCAUCCCAUACGGCGCAACUCGAGAGUGGCAGAGGUUCGUGGAAUUGCCGGUGUAGUGGUGAAAUGCGUAGAGAUCGGCAGGAACACCAAGGGGGAAACCAGCGAACUGGGCCAUAUCUGACGCUCAGGUGCGAAAGCGUGGGGAGCGAACCGG